rnacentral:lncRNA from 1 species
GUUUAGGAGGUCAGAUCCUGCCUCAGCAGCUGCACAACCUCAGCUUAUGGAUUUGCUGCACAAUCAUCGGUCCAAUGCCCAAUCCCGGGUCCACAAUGCUGCAACAUUUGUUGCAGCCAAGUCGAAGCUUGACACAGUGCUGCUCCCCAAUGAUUCCAUUGGGCACUUUGGCAUUGCCUUGUAUUUGCAGCCGCGCCUCUCGGAGGAGUUUAUUGAAUUUCUGGAAGCUUGCAUUUCUGCAUUGUGGAAUGCUUGUAGAGGUGUUUGUUCAGCUCUUUCGGCAUGAUCUUGAUCGUCUUCUUUUCUGUGAGGUAAUGUUAAAUGUAUAUUAUUUUACUAGUAUACUUAAUUCUGCCCCUAAGUAAUGUAGCCUCUUAUUUAUCUCCUGUUUUGAGAUUGAUGUUGUAUUGCAGAUAAGUAGUUCAGUGUUAUGAAUUCUGGAUUUUCAGUUGUUGCAUAUGCAUUGUCACAGAUGUGAAUAUUAUCAUUAGAUGUUGUAUUGUGGAUAAGUUCGGUGUUCUAAUUGUAAAUUCUGGAAUUUCAAUUGUUGCAUAUGCAUUGUCACAGAUGUGAAUGUUAUCAUUAGAUGAUGUAUUGCGAAUAAGUAGUCUGGUGUUAUGAUUUCUAAAUUCUGGAUUUUCAAUUGUUGCAUAUGCAUUGUCACAGAUGUGAAUGUUAUCAUUAGUUUAUUGUCUAACUUGCUUAUCAAGCUCAAUUAUACUGUAGCUAUGGAGCUGCCUUGGACCAAACAUUUUUUCAAAUUCAUACCACUUCCCUCCUUUAGCAUAUAUGUUAGAAAAUAAGGUGUGGUAUCCAGAUUCAUCUGUGCUAAUAUCUAAAAGGUUUCUUUCAAAAGCUUUUAAUCAUGUCCAUCCUUUGGUGGUCUCGAUUGCUCUGUUGAUGUACGUGACAGUUUGGUAUCGAUUGGUUUUGGGAUGAAUGAAAUGAAAGCAGUUUUGAUAGUGAGAGACUUGUUAGAAGAGUUCAAGGUGAUGAAGUUGGUGUUCUAGGAUUUUCCCUUUGAGAUGAUGAUCUUCUAGGAUAAGUUGCCUUUAUAUGCUAGUGUUAGAGAAAAUUGUUUUCUUUUAGAAUUCCACUUUCUUGUAAUAGAUAAUGAAUUGACUUCCUUGAUUGCUAACAAGUACAUUAAAGAUUGGAUUCUUUCCGUUAAAUGCAUCAGACGUAUGAGAGAGUUUUGUGUCCGUACUUGUUCCACGAGGAUUUUGGAGCAAACAGUCAUCAACCCAAGUAAAAAGAUGGGGACCAAAAAAGUAACCACUCAUUUAG